ACAGGCUGCAGGCCGUAUUAUGCUAAAUCAAGGAUACGGGGAGAUAAUUAACAUAGCAACUCUGGCAAGUUUAAUAGGUUCUCACACACAGUGACAGCCAGCAGCGUCCGAAGUGUUGACAUUAUGACUUAGAGAUGUGAUAAGGAGAAACACGAACUGCAUUUUCUAUUGUAUGGAUGCACCUGUCCUUUCUCUCCUGCCACCCAGCCUCAGCUUUAGCAUCGCCAAAAAUCUCUCUCCGGUGAAUGGCCCAUUUAAUCUCUUGUUUUCUGUUUUGAUCGUAUGAUUCGAUGUGCCUGAAAUGCCUUUCCCUGCCGUGUUGAAACAUUACUUAUCUUUGAGGAUGUGAUGCCAACCACUGGUGUGAUUUCUUUCCCAAUCCCCCUGAGCAGAAUA